UACGGGGGGAGCAAGCGUUGUUCGGAUUUACUGGGCGUAAAGGGCGCGUAGGCGGUCAGCACAAGUCAGUUGUGAAAUCUCCGGGCUUAACUCGGAAAGGUCAACUGAUACUGUGCGACUAGAGUGCGGAAGGGGCAACUGGAAUUCUCGGUGUAGCGGUGAAAUGCGUAGAUAUCUGGAGGAACACCGGUGGCGAAGGCGGCAUCCUGGACCGAGAUUGACGCUGAGGCGCGAAAGCCAGGGGAGCAAACGGG
rnacentral:rRNA from 1 species